CCUAGAGUUGUAGGCUUUGCCUGCUAUCUCUUACUUAUGUCUUUUAAGUACCUUCGUUUCCUCAGCAGGUCUGCCUGCCGAUUGGACAAUUUAAACUAUUUGCAGUUGCAAUCAGUGUCUGAAAAAACUUAAUAGUUA
rnacentral:misc_RNA from 1 species